CAUCUACUCCCUCCGUCCGAAAAUAUUUGUGGGAGUAAUGGAUGUAUCUAGACCCAAUUUUGUUCUAGAUACACCCAGUUUCAUCCAUUUCUCCGACAAGUAUUUCCGGACGGAGGGAGUACUAA
rfam:Triticum aestivum genome assembly, contig: Triticum_aestivum_CS42_TGACv1_scaffold_049637_1BS